UACGUAGGGUGCAAGCGUUAAUCGGAAUUACUGGGCGUAAAGCGUGCGCAGGCGGUUCGGAAAGUAAGAUGUGAAAUCCCAGGGCUUAACCUUGGAACUGCAUUUUUAACUGCCGGGCUAGAGUAUGUCAGAGGGGGGUAGAAUUCCACGUGUAGCAGUGAAAUGCGUAGAGAUGUGGAGGAAUACCGAUGGCGAAGGCAGCCCCCUGGGAUAAUACUGACGCUCAUGCACGAAAGCGUGGGGAGCAAACAGG
rnacentral:rRNA from 1 species